rnacentral:rRNA from 1 species
CCCUUAGAUGUUCGGAGCUGCACGCGCGCUACACUGACGAAGGCAACGAGCUUUCCUUUACCGAAAGGUACGGGUAAUCUUUUGAAACUUCGUCGUGCUGGGGAUAGAUCCUUGCAAUUUUUGAUCUUAAACGAGGAAUGCCUAGUAAGCGCAAGUCAUCAACUUGCGUUGAUUACGUCCCUGCCCUUUGUACACACCGCCCGUCGCUACUACCGAUUGAAUGGUUUAGUGAGGCCUUCGGAUCCGCGACUCGUUUGUGGAGAAGUUGGACAAACUCAGUCAUUUAGAGGAAGUAAAAGUCGUAACA